GCCGACGUGGUGAAACUGGUAGACACGCUGUCUUGAGGGGGCAGUGGCGAAAGCCGUGGGAGUUCGAGUCUCCCCGUCGGCACCA
rnacentral:tRNA from 1 species